rnacentral:tRNA from 1 species
GGUCCUGUAGCUCAAUGGUAGAGCGGUGGUCUUAUAAGCCAUGAUCCCCGGAUUAGGGAACGAUGUUGGUUCGAUUCCAGCCAGGACUACCA